rnacentral:sRNA from 1 species
GUUUGCACUUGUCGGGGAAGGGUGAGAACCUUCGAUUAAGGUUCGACUCGAGCGAAAGCGAGAGAACGUUGCCAACGGCAACGGCCCGAAGGGUG